AUGGCGGAGCUCAACUCAGCUCAACCGCAACUGGUUGACCCCGAGAAUAAACCAUGUAUAAAUGCCCAGCCGCAGCUGCAGUGGUAUUCCCCAAUACUGAUGGAGGCCGUAGACGCCGUAUCCAAAGUCCUCGACGAUGACAACCUCCUCAUCGAGAUCCUCCUCUGCGUUGAUCUCCCCACGACCUUGGUCUGUGCUGCUCUUGUCUGCAAGCGCUGGCUACAGCAUGCCUCCGACCGCGAGUUCCUCUGUCAUUUCCGCAAGCUCCACCCGCCCCGCCUCAUUGGUUUCUACAUUCAGGAGGGGCUGAUGCCAACCAGUCCACGCUUCGUCCUGAUGCUGCCAGCUCAGCACCGGGAACGUGCCGCCGUCGUCCGCCGUGCAAAGUUCAGCUUGGAAAGUAACGACGACAGCAAUUUAAGGACACACAUAAUGGACUGCCGGAAUGGCAGAGUCCUUACCCAGCGCCUCGAUGGAACCACAAGGGGACUUAAGGUGCACGUCCCAUUGUGCCCUCAGAUAGGCAUGAAGAACAUCCCACCACUCCCAAUCCACGAACCGCAUCACGACUAUCACUGCGGUUUCAGUCAAAUCCUCUCCAAUGAAGGAGUCAACGGCUUGUCCUACUUCCAUGUGUCCAUGGCGUCUUCAUACUAUGGAAAGUCAAGGGUGAGCGUUUAUAUGCUGAAAGAUGGUGUGUGGUGUAUGCAUACCUCGGUUGCGGCAAAUCUUCCUCCUCCACGUAUGAGAAUAAACUCUGUUCUCGUCGGCAGUAAAAUCUAUAUGGCAGCUGCCAUGAGUGACAUUAUCAUCUUGGAUUUGAAGACCUCAAGCUUCUCGGUAAUUCAGCUCCCACAAGGAGUGGACUACGGACAGGAGUAUGGUUCGUCGGACACUAUGUUGUCACGGGCAGAUGAUUAUUCUAGUGUUUAUCUCAUCAAUGCUAAGGGGCUGCAACUUCGCAUUUGGCUCCACAAGGGGGGCACCUGGUUGCUGGUGGAUACAAUCCUUAUGCUUGACAUGUUUGCUAAUUUGAGGAUGUCAGGUUUCAGUGUUGAGGACUAUCGUAGUUUUCUUCGUCUAAGACAGGUGGGGGACAAUGCAGAGUUUGUGUUCUUGCAGAUGCGUCAAUGCAUAUUCUACCUGGAUAUCAAGUGCCGAACACUAUGUGAAGUGCAUGACAUAACAAAAUAUGAUGGAUCUUCUUGUCAUAUCAAUCCUCUUAUGAUGAUCUGGCCUCCCACAUUCCCUGCGAACAAGGAUAAUCCAGCAAGAAAUGCCAUGUGA
rnacentral:rRNA from 1 species